AUCAACCCAGCACUAAUAAAGACUAUGUUGAAACCCAAUUGAAUGAGCCCAACUGAAAUAAAACCAAGCCCAAACCACUUUUCUCUCUCCUGUUCAUUCUCAUAUGCGUCUCUCUCUCUCUCUCUCACAGAAAUCGCAUUUCUCUCUCCCAAGCCGCCGUCCACCUCCAGCAAGACCGGCGGCGCUUCGCCGGCGCUCAUCACCUUCACCCUCACCAGCAUCUGCAUCUGCCGACUCUCCCUCUCAACAUCUCGCCCUACUCUCUCUGUCUCUAUCCCUUCUCUCGCCAUAAACAGCUGCGGUCGCCGCCGCUCUUCCACGGCUGCCGCUCCGCCGCCUCUUUUCUCAAUCUCCAUCCCCCAAUUGAUCAAACCCCCAGAUACAGAAACCCAAAAUCUCUCUCUCAAGGCUCAAAUUAGAAAACCACUCUCUCUCUCUUCCUCUCACUCAUCCGCCUGCCACCUUCUACCAUAGCGGCGUUUUCGCCGCCUUCUUCCCUCCUCCCUCGCCGGACAGCCAGUGGCCGUCAAAAUUGCCGCCGCCUCUCCUCUUUCUCUCACGGCGAACGGCGAGAUUCACCGUCGCCCCCUUCUCCUUCGGUCCGAACAGCAGCAGCCCAUCAGCCGCUGCCGCCGCUCUCCCUGCUUCAACCCCUCCUAGCCCCGAUUGAACUCACGCCAUACUAACACACACAACAAGAAUCAAGCGCAGCAAGAUCGAAGCUGUAAAGACUGAAGUUUUAUCAAAAUUUUAAGGGUUCGUUCUUCUCUGUGUUUCUUCAAUUCCUUCACAAGAGUCCAGUUCAAAGUGUAAAUGUCAAGGCACAAGUUUGAUGGUAUUGUCUAUGAUGAUUUUAAAUCACCAGAAUUUUAUUCGUAUAUUUCUUGUUUGUUGGUUUCGUGUGUCAUCAAAGUUCAUCAGAACGAAAAGAAUAGUGUGGGAAUAAUGAAGUAAAGAUGGAAACUUUGGGGGUACCGUGGUGUGAUUAUGAAGAAGAUGAAGAGGGCUGAGCUCUGCUUCUGUUCUAUCUGCAAGUAAUAUAUGAACUGAAUAUGUAUGUUGGUGUUGUGAAAAUAUAGAACAAGUCUUGUACGAAAUUGAGUAUGACGAUAGAACCUUGAUGAGGUGAAUGUUUUUUACUGCUUAUGCUGCUCUUGUUUAGGCGCUUCUGUAAAGAAAAAGGGCGAAGUUUGUUUGCUUUUAUUUUUGUGGAAGGAAUGGAACACAAUUACAGUUGUUUUUGGGAAAUAUAAUUGAGAUGGAAAUGAUGAGAUUCAUCUGUAGUGAAGUGUAUGGGUAAUUUAAAGAAGACAAAGGCAGUAGAUGGGGUAAAGAAGAAGGUAACGUGGAUGAUUUCAAAUCAAAGCCUUGGGCAGAUUUUUCUAUCUAUUUUUCUAUCAAAGGUAACGUGGAUGAUCUCUUGGUGUUGAAAUCUGGGUUUCUUGGCAGAUCAAGUGUGGUUGGAAAAAUAAAAUAAAAAAAAAUUGAUAUUGGGCUCUUGAAAAUUUAAAAGGACCAUGGACUAAAAAAUAUAUAAUUGGGCUCUUAUAGAUAUAGGCCCAAAUUUCUUAAUCACAUAAUGGUGGUAUCAAAUAAAGGAUUCAACACUAAAUUCAAGAUUUCUACAAAAAUAUUCUAUUGGGAAAAAUCGGGGUAUUACAUUCAGGGUUUACUAAUUAAAAGCCCGUAUAAAUGCUAAAAUAUACAAAUAUAUAAUUUAAAUAAAUAUGUCAUGCAUUCUAAUUUAAAUAACUAAAAUUUAUAAAUACUUUUUGUAAAUCAUUUUUGUUGAAAUUAAAAUGAAUUCAUUUUCUUUUUCUAGUGUGAAUCAUCUUAACUUCUAAGUUCAAAAAUAACUCUAAACUUAGUAAGGAAAAAAAGGGUGUUACAGAAAUGCUUGCUCAUUAGAGCUAUAUGUCAACACUUGCCCUUUUUGAUAAACUCACAGGAUUUAAAUUUUUAAAAUACAUGUGUUUGCUUUCUCUAUCAUCAAAAUCAUCUCAAUAAUAAUAAAACAUAUGUCUGCAGACAAGAUUGUGUAUGUGCCAACUAUGAGAACUCAUAUAUAUUACAUAUUAUACUUCUUGUAAGGACUCGCUGGUCCAAAUAUCAUACUCUUCUUUCUUGGCAUAAACAUUAACUCUUUGCAUAUGUGAAUCCUUCAAGCAUUUCACAAGGUAAUCUUUUUGCGCGCACUUUCUUGGAAUAAAAUAAUUUGCUUGAAAAAAAAAAUUGAACGUACCUUUGUUGAUCAGGCAGUGAGACGGUGAGCUGAGGGUUGCAACAAUGCUUAGAAGUCUAGAGGUACUAUUCUAGACUCGGAAUAAUUCAACUAGCGGUAGUCAGAGACACGAAAGAAAACUUGUGCUCUGGUACCAUUAUGUCACACCCCGGUUUUACCAAGAAAAAAAUAAAUAGAAAAAUAAUGGAAAAACUUAAUAGAGCUGAAUAAACUUGACAAUUUACCCUUUUAAAUGGGUUACUUAUAAUUUGAAGAGAUAAAAUGAAAGGCAUUGAGUGAUGCCAAUCAAUUGAUAAUAUUUAAACUCACAGGAUCACAUAAGUUUAGUUUCGCGACUCUGAUCAUAAUCAACAAUAACUUUAUUAAUAGAAAUAUGAGUUAAAAAGUCUAAGUUCAACAAGAUAAUAUUGCACCAUAUAAUAGAAGUUCUUAGUUUAGGGAAUUGAAAGACAAGAUAACAAGCUAGUCAUUAGCGGAAGCAAAAGACAGCGUGGAACCCUAGCCUCAGCUCAACCCUGUCUGCACCAACCGAUCAACCUGAAAACAUUUGAAAAUAAUUUGGGCUGAGUACUAGUGUACUCAGUGAACAGGAGUUUACAAGAUAUUUUAUGAAAUAAUUAAAUAGAGCAGUUUAUCCAAUAUCGCAAUCAUGACUCAGAAGGUUUUAAUACAGAAAUCCACUUCUAAGCAUGACAAAACUUUUCUCAUUAAGUGGCGCCAUGUAACGUUCGAUUGUUACUCGCUGCUUAUGAUCCCGGACCUCUAGCCACCGACGGAUCGCUUUCUUUUCUCCCAUUUAUCAAUCUCAGGACGCACCCGGUCAUAUCAAUAAUCAUAACUGUGCUUCGGAACACAUCCAGACAAGCACCCUUAUAACGCCUCUUAGCUUUGUUAGUGCACGAUGGCGAUCAACCCAUCGAGCCACUAACCUUGUGUACACAAUCCUCAUCUAACGUGUUAGGCUAAAUGAGAAUCUCGAUCGAUGCUUAUGCGAGCAUUAAACAAUACAGAACGCACAUAAAAACAUUUAUAUUGGAUAAACAAUUAACUUUCAUGAAAUAUCAGAGCUUAUAUAACUCAAGAUACAUUUGUAAAAUAAAGCCCACCUUGAUUGGACAAAGUCCGAAGUCAAACGUAACUCGUCUCGUAAAAGCAAUGCUAAUCCUCUUGGUUAAUUGAGCCUACAAGAUAAUCUAAUCUUAAUAGGUCUCGUGAUACUAGCCUUAGAUAAUAGCAAAACGAGGCUACUAAGUUCUGAUUCGCUAUGCCCGAAUUUUAAAACUCACUUAAUAAACUUGAAAACAAAUUUUCAGGUAAGGGCACCAACAAUACCCUUGCUUGACUUUUAACUUAAAAACAAUUUAAAUGCUUAAAUAUUUUAUUGCAAAAACAUAUUAUAACUAAAGCUCAAAUUUCAAUUAAGAAAAGAGCCAACUUAAAAAGAAUAAGCCCAGCAAUUAAAUCAACCCAGCACUAAUAAAAGACUAUGUUGAAACCCAAUUGAAUGAGCCCAACUGAAAUAAAACCAAGCCCAAACCACUUUUCUCUCUCCUGUUCAUUCUCAUAUGCGUCUCUCUCUCUCUCUCACAGAAAUCGCAUUUCUCUCUCCCAAGCCGCCGUCCACCUCCAGCAAGACCGGCGGCGCUUCGCCGGCGCUCAUCACCUUCACCCUCACCAGCAUCUGCAUCUGCCGACUCUCCCUCUCAACAUCUCGCCCUACUCUCUCUGUCUCUAUCCCUUCUCUCGCCAUAAACAGCUGCGGUCGCCGCCGCUCUUCCACGGCUGCCGCUCCGCCGCCUCUUUUCUCAAUCUCCAUCCCCCAAUUGAUCAAACCCCCAGAUACAGAAACCCAAAAUCUCUCUCUCAAGGCUCAAAUUAGAAAACCACUCUCUCUCUCUUCCUCUCACUCAUCCGCCUGCCACCUUCUACCAUAGCGGCGUUUUCGCCGCCUUCUUCCCUCCUCCCUCGCCGGACAGCCAGUGGCCGUCAAAAUUGCCGCCGCCUCUCCUCUUUCUCUCACGGCGAACGGCGAGAUUCACCGUCGCCCCCUUCUCCUUCGGUCCGAACAGCAGCAGCCCAUCAGCCGCUGCCGCCGCUCUCCCUGCUUCAACCCCUCCUAGCCCCGAUUGAACUCACGCCAUACUAACACACACAACAAGAAUCAAGCGCAGCAAGAUCGAAGCUGUAAAGACUGAAGUUUUAUCAAAAUUUUAAGGGUUCGUUCUUCUCUGUGUUUCUUCAAUUCCUUCACAAGAGUCCAGUUCAAAGUGUAAAUGUCAAGGCACAAGUUUGAUGGUAUUGUCUAUGAUGAUUUUAAAUCAGCAGAAUUUUAUUCGUAUAUUUCUUGUUUGUUGGUUUCGUGUGUCAUCAAAGUUCAUCAGAACGAAAAGAAUAGUGUGGGAAUAAUGAAGUAAAGAUGGAAACUUUGGGGGUACCGUGAUGUGAUUAUGAAGAAGAUGAAGAGGGCUGAGCUCUGCUUCUGUUCUAUCUGCAAGUAAUAUAUGAACUGAAUAUGUAUGCUGGUGUUGUGAAAAUAUAGAACAAGUCUUGUACGAAAUUGAGUAUGAAGAUAGAACCUUGAUGAGGUGAAUGUUUUUUUUUUUUUUUACUGCUUAUGCUGCUCUUGUUUAGGCGCUUCUGUAAAGAAAAAGGGCGAAGUUUGUUUACUUUUAUUUGGAAGAAAUCGAAUUUUGGGAAGUAUAAUUGAGAUGAAAGUGAUGAGAUUCAUCUGUGGUGAAGUGUAUGGGGUAGGGCUGUGGGUAAUUUAAAGAAGACAAAGGCAGUAGAUGGGGUAAAGAAGAAGGUAACGUGGAUGAUUUCAAAUCAAAGUCUUGGGCAGAUUUUUCUAUCAAAGGUUACG
rnacentral:lncRNA from 1 species